AAAAGAAAUAAAAAUUCACAUUUAAAAACAAAACAAAACAAAAAAAAGAGAGGAACAUAGAAGCCAGGAGGGCCCGUCUGCAUUUCCCGUCACGCUUUGCUCCCAGCGGAUGCGGUGGAUAUUUGUCAUUUAUGUCCCAAUGCCACGACCGUUCCAAGUGACAGUUAACAAAAAUAAUAUCGGAUACUUCCAUGACUACAAGUGACAGCUGUAACAGGUGCGUUGGGUUCCUUACAUCGUAUUUGUUAAGAUUCUGAAAUGGGGCGGGGGAAGGGCAGGGGGUUAAGGAGUCCAUUUUCUAUUAAAAUAUAGAAGUUAUUGCAAAACCCUAACUGUAAAAACGCACCAAUAUAAUUGGAUUUUGUAUACAGUAGCUAAAGAUUCCCACGCUCUCAGUGUGAUGGUGAAUUUGCCUGGCGGAAGGUUGACAAAUCCUCCAUCCACUUUGCUCUGCCUCAAGAGAAAAACCACACAAACCAGACAGCUAGAAUUUGGAUCUCUGAAACAUUUUUAAAUAAGUUGUCCAUAGGACAACUGGCUCAGCUCCUUUAGGAUAUUUCCAGGUUAUGCUUUCUACAAGAUGUUGGCUGUUUUAUCCCAUGCUCACUUGCCCCUUUUCUCCCCCCUCCCCAGCAUCCAAGGACAAGUAAGGCUCACAGUUUAUGAAUCUUCCUAAAAACCAGGCUACUCCCCCUUUUAUUCCCAUAACAUUCAUCUCAUUAAAAACAGGUUAAAACUCAUAGUCUUCCUCUGCCAUGUCGAUAGCCCAGGCGAAUUUCUCUCGCUGGGUUUUGUUAUAUAUCUUCUCUAUAGGAAUUCCCCACUUCUUACACCAAGCGACAGAGAUCCUAGGAUCCAGAUAGUUGAGUUUGGAGGUGCUCAAGGCGAUCUGCUUGUUCUCCUCCCUAUCUGUAGCCUGAACCUCCAGCUUCAUCAGCUGCUCCUCAAUCCUCUGCACUGCUUUCUUCUUGCUCUCCACUGCCUUUUUAGACUUCUCAUCCCUCCGGACCUUGGCAUCAGCUUUGGCGCUUUUCAGUUCUCUCCUGGCAUCAGCUAACUGCUCCUUCUUGGCAUCGAUCUAGGAGAGGCAAAACCAGAGGGCGGCACUGUCAACAAGCUGCAGACAACUGUGGCAGUCACCCCUGGGCAGCAUGACCAAAGGAGUGAGUUUGUGACCAAGUUCAGGAUUUAUCAGCACUCAGGUGCACUUCUGCAGAACAACUAGGCCACUAGCUUUUCAGUUUGCU
rnacentral:lncRNA from 1 species